UCUCCGUUGGUGAACCAGCGGAGGGAUCAUUACCGAGUUUACAACUCCCAAACCCAAUGCGAACGUUACCAACCUGUUGCCUCGGCGGGAUCUCUGCCCCGGGUGCGUCGCAGCCCCGGACCAAGGCGCCCGCCGGAGGACCAACCAAAACUCUUAUUGUAUACCCCCUCGCGGGUUUUUUUAUAAUCUGAGCCUUCUCGGCGCCUCUCGUAGGCGUUUCGAAAAUGAAUCAAAACUUUCAACAACGGAUCUCUUGGUUCUG
rnacentral:misc_RNA from 1 species